rnacentral:tRNA from 1 species
ACCCUUUUAGUAUAAAAAGUAUAUUUAACUUCCAAUUAAAAGGUCUAAAAUUUAGAAAGGGUA